CCCUCAGCUCUCGGCUCUCCUCGGCUCUCCUGGCAGUGCCUGGGACGCAGCCAGGCUCCGCAGCAGCCGCGUGAAGAAGAACGGGCUCUGAUACUGCAGCUGGGUGAGGUGCUGCAGGAAGGGCGGCACCUCCUCCUUCCUCACCCCCAGGCACACGGGGAGCACCCUGGUGCCGCCGCACUCCACCACGUGCUGCAGGUUCCACUGGGACACCCGUUGGCACCACGCAUCCCCCAGGGACGCUGGGGAGAGCAGGAGGAUGCCCACCCUGCUGGCACCGAUGGCCUCGGUGGCACUCAGCGCAACGGGGGUGCCGGCCACCUGGUCCCAGUGCUCCAAGUAACCCCGAAAGCCCUUUUUCCUCAAGAACUCAGAGAUGACGGAGGCGACGGCGUGGUCCUCCGGGCAGUACCAGAUGGAGAAGUCGUAGGUGAAGCGAUGCUGCGCAGACAUGGUGCUGCCAGGGGGCACAGCUGCUCCCACGGCCACGUGGCGGGGAUGGAGGCCGGGCCGCAGCGGGGGCUUUGAAAACGCAGCGCUGUGGGUGCGCUGGGAGCACAGGGAGGCAGGCAGGGCUCAGGGGGGGCUCCCGGUGAGACCCCCGGGCCGGGCCGCGUCCCGAGCUCAGAACGCCUUCUGCCGCAUCUCGGCGAUGUCCCUCUCCAGUGCCGUGCCCGCCCUCUGCAGUUCUUCACGCUUCUCUGCAAGCUCCCCCCGCGCCUCCCGCAGCCGUCGGUUCAUCUCCACGUAACCGCGGCACUGCCGGUACAGCCGCUCCUGCUCCUCCGCGCCGUCCUCCUGCCCUGGCGCGGGGCCGUCACGGUCACCGCCGCUGCCUCGGGGGGGGUCAGCCGGGAGCAGGAGGACGGGGUCGGCCGGGGGUGCGCCCCGCACGUCGGCCAGGAGCUGCUCCACGGUGGGCGGCUCAGGGCGGGUGGGCAAUACCCGCUUGGCCUUGGAGCUCAUGGCGGGGCUCCCUGACGCCCUCGCUCCUUCAGGACGGAGCCUUCCUCCCCGAUCCGUGGACAGACAGACGGGCAGACGAUUCCCCUUCCCUACCGCCGGUCGGACAGACCUCCCCCCGCCCCA
rnacentral:lncRNA from 1 species